AACUAUCACUUGGUUAGGGAUCCAUUUCAAAUCCAGUUCAUGUUCAAUUGGGAUUGGGUUCUACUGUUGUCUAAGUAAUUUAAAUUGUCAAAUACAUCAUCUUUUCUCUCCCUUUUAUCAAAUUGCAGUUUCUUCUCGGAUUUUCCAUGGCCGAUAUCAAAGAAAUGGUCUGCUAUUCUAUAAUGAAACGUUGGUAUAGUAUGCUGACAGUAGAAUAGAGAGGGGAGCAUGUAGCUUCAAAGCCGAAGUCUAUCAUAUAGUAGUUUUCAAUUUGUUGAACCUUUUCAUACCAUCAUCAGCCACCUUAGUGUCAUCCGAAAUUGAUUGGUUGAUUGUGCCAUCUCUUGUGAUGUUUUUGCUAAAACCUUAAGCGCGCUAGCCAAGGAUGGUGUGAACAACAUGUUUGAAAACUUUGAGCACCAACCAAAAUACCAUGUUGCAAAUAAAGAAACUUAAGAGGGGUUCACCUAAAGUUUACCUCAACUCAUAUGCUACAAUUUUUUUAGAGAAAAUCCAUAAUUAUUUUAUUCAUAAUAGGUAUUAAAAACAAUAUCAUUUAUGGGGAAGGGUUCUCUGAACCAUUGUGGUACCCUACACCCCCUUACAGAAUUCAUUUUCUGUGAGAGAAAAAAACUAAUAAAAAAUCUUUGAGAGGGAAUUCUGGUGCUCAGAAUCACUUUUCCCAUGGUAUAUCUAUGGCAAACUUUUCUUUUCAGCUACCCACUUACAAAGUGGAUCUUGUGCUGCCCACUGUCAUUGUGCCUCAUGGACAAGAUGUAGCUAUUCCAAUUGUUGGAUAGAGAGGAAAUGGUCUGGACUAGCCACAUGUCAUAUUGUAGAUCUAAUUCAAUCAAUUACCCUCUGUGUAUUGGCAUGCAUUCUUUUGUAUGUCUAUGCAUGACUAUUGUUACUCCGACCACUACUUUACACUCUCUCAUAGUCCUGAUUUUUCGAAGCUCACUCUAUUUAGGCUAGAAUUUGAUAUGUAGCAGGUGUUCCUUGGGGUCUACCUGACUUACCUGUGCACAAAAUUUUGGGCCCCAAUUGAGCUGCCAUGCGGCAAAUAAUUGGGUGACGCAGGAAUGCCUUCCUUCCUAGGAGUUAAUGCAUCAUGUUGGCCUAUUCAUGGCUAAGGGAAGGGGAGCCAAGGUAGUGCAGGAAGUUUCUUUUGGUCCACUGAAGGAGAAAUGAUCAACCACCAAGGGCCAGACAAAGCUAUCACGCCAUACGAAGGUGAUCAGUGGGAUAGUUAUUGUAAAUGAAUGGCUGGAUUACUAGUGUACUUUAAUUGUAAGGUAUAAUGGCAAUUUAAGUAGGGUUGGUUAUGAAAGUUAUCAAGUUGCUUGUAAGCAUAUACAGAUGGUUUGUUUAUGACAUGGAAGAAGAUUUAUAUGUAUUGUGCUCUAUAUGUGAAACCAGUUGUUCUAUUAAGGAACUGUUGAAGAAGAAAAAUUAGUGAAAUUAAUGGAAUAAGAAGAUAUUAAUGGCA